UUUUCUUUCCGGCCACCCACAGCGCCGCCGCCAUCUCCGCCGCUCCUGUCGACUUUUCGGCGAGAUUCCUAUACGCCGGAAUCGUCUCCUACAGAUCGGCCAGAUUCACUGCCUUCCGCCGCCGCACGCAUCCGCACACGUCUCUCCUUCAUCGCACGUGAAUCUCACGCGCCGGACAAUCAGCCGCGCAUCCGCUGCCCCCAGCCGUCGCCGUUUUUCC
rnacentral:lncRNA from 1 species